AUUGCUACAAAAAUAUUGCCUCACAUGGUGGGUCACUCACUUCCGUCAAAUAAGGCUUCUGUUCUUCGUUUAUUUUUCUGAGAAACAAUGCUAAAAGCCACCAAACUGACAUAAACCUCAAAUAAUGUUUGUGUCUCUUUCAAUAAGUCUUUCCUGUUACUAUGUUUAAGGUAUUAUGUUACCUAUAAGACCUCAGUUUAAUUAUGUCUGAUCAUAUAUGUUCAAUGAAUGGCACAAAUUUCAGAAGCUAUUGGGACGGGGCUUAUCUGGUGAAGAGUGAACAUUUAAUUGUAGCCAGUCUCUAGAAAAGGAACAUGUCACUCGAGGAUGAUGGAUAAUGGGAUGCAUGAUGAGAUGAAAUGAAGAAUUCAGAUGUCACAUCCUUUGCAAUGUACACAUUCAAGUAUCUUUUCACAUGAAUGCUGCCGCUGCCAUACCCCAUUAUGAGAACAUAUCCAAUUUUCUUUGAGUGAAAUUUGAAUUCUAGCCUCUCUAGGGUGAGGAACACAUGACGCUGAAUGAGGACAAAAUGAAUGGAAAUUUCAGAUUGUUAUGGUUUGCAUCAAAGUGAUUUUAGUGGGUUUUCAUAUCAUAGCUUACCAUUUUCUGAUGCACUAUUAGUCAUCUGCCACUUCUAAAUUCUAUGCACGAAGAUCCUGUCAUCGGUCCCUAUCCGACCUUUGUGGGAAGAAGGACGUAGUAUGAAACACUUCAGCGGCCACUACGAAAUAUCCACUUUUUGGUCGGUCAAUCAUUCAGGUGUUUAAUAUUUAAUGAGGAAAAUAAGUUACUAAACAUACAAUAAAAGAAAGCAGAAGCAUUUCAUAUCAUGAAAAUCCUCACACCGUUUCGGAUAUUCCAUGCAUUUCAAUAAAAGAAUGCUGAAUAUCUUGAUUCCCAUGCUUUCGGAUAUUCCAUGCAUUUCCAUCGUCACCGUUUUGAACUUCACAGAACAAAUCUUUGACCUUGGAGAAAGAUGUUUCCAACUAAUAUAUAAGAUGCAAAUCCUUGUAUUCAAGUUAAUAACAUUUAGAUCUCAAUUUUACUAGUGAGUAUAUUUGAUUCUAAGACAAACUCAAAAGCAAUUUAU
rnacentral:lncRNA from 1 species